GGAUGUGGCUCAAGUGGUAGCGCGCUCGCCUGGCAUGCAAGAGGUACUGGGUUCAAUCCUCAGCACCA
rnacentral:tRNA from 1 species